rnacentral:lncRNA from 1 species
GAAAUAAUUAGGUCAUGAAGGUACGGCCCUCAUGAAUGGGAUUAGUGCCCUUAUAAAAGGGAACCCAGAGGGUUUUCUCACUCUUUCUGUCAUGUGAAGACACAAGAAGCUAACUCUGUGCAACCUGGAAGAGGACCCUUAUCAGAACCUAAUCAUACUGACACUCUGAUCUCAGAAGUCCUGCCUCCAGAACUGUGGAAUAAACUCCUGUUGUUUAUAAGCCACUCAACCUGUGGUGAUUUGUCAUAGCAGCCCAAACUAAGACAGCAACCAUUUGCAGGCCAAGUAGAAGAACCAAACCUGCGGAACCUCUGACCUUGGAUUUCCAACCUCCAGAACUGUGAGAAUAUAAAUUUCUGUUGUCUAAGCCACCGCCCCGUCUAUGAAAUUUUGUUAUGCUGAUCCUAAAACAAAAUCAUUCUCCAUCACUAGACUUAGAACCAACAGUUCAGUAGUCAUUCAGCUACUUUGCUCCUGGCACACGGCAGGCAUUUGGUAAACGUUUGUUCAAAUGAGUGGCUGGACAAUUUAAUUUGGAGAGGGCCCUUAGAGAUCGUCUGGUCCAAUUCAGGUUCCUAUUUCCCAGACUUGUGCCCUUUCUGCUACACAGAUGGAGGGUGUUACAUCAUUUCCCCAAGUGCUAGUUUUCAAAUGUUCUCAUGCUAUUUAGAGAGUUGUAAAAGUAAACAGGCGUAGCCUCGGCUGGCUACCCUUUUCUCAUAUUUCACUUGUGCAUGACCUCUACUCCUUGAUCCACCAAAAAAACCCCACACAAUAUAAGAGCAAGAAAGAAUCUUAGAGACCAUUUAGUUGAAUCCCUUAAUUGAGGAGGGUUUUCAUUCUAAAUGUAAUACAACUAUAUUGGAGAAAGUUUUGAGAUAUAACAAAAAACUCACUGUUCUUACUAAAUGUUGGUAUUUUGGUGUGUGAUCUAUAUAUGGUUUUCUUUAUGUAGGGAUAACCACAGUACACAAACGGAUUUCUACCCCCCUUCAUAGAGCAUGAUGAUAUUUCAUCUUCAUAAUAGAUAUAUUUUUAGAAUUUAUUUUUUUUAGUGAUGAUAGACCUUUAUUUUAUUUAUUUUAUUUUAUAUGCGCUGCUGAGAAUCGAACCCAGGGCCUCACACAUGGCAGGCAAGUGCUCUCCCACUGAGCCACAACCCCAGCCCCAUAAUAGAUAUUUUUAAUGACUGCAACAAGUAUCUGUUUUCCAAAUUACUUAACUGUUUUCCCAUUGCUGAAUCU